rnacentral:rRNA from 1 species
AGCUCUGUAAGCGUAUACCAAAGUUGUUGCAGUUAAAACGCUCGUAGUCGGAACUUGGCAGUUCCGGAUGUAUGCACGUCGUGUGCGUACUUUGCGGGGAUUGCUUUUGUGGUAUUGCGUAAGAUGAGGCACUUUUAUUAGUGAACGUCUUCACGCAACCACUUUUUACUGUGAGAAAAUCAGAGUGCUCAAAGCAGGCAUUUGCCGUGAAUGUAUUAGCAUGGAAUAAUAGAAUAGGACUUGGUUCUAUUUUGUUGGUUUGUUGGGACUGAGUAAUGAUUAAGAGGGACAGUUGGGGGCAUUUGUAUUUCGGCGCUAGAGGUGAAAUUCUUAGAUUGCCGAAAGACAAACUGCUGCGAAAGCGUCUGCCAAGGAUGUUUUCA